rnacentral:rRNA from 1 species
UACAUAGGGUGCGAGCGUUAAUCGGAAUUACUGGGCGUAAAGCGUGCGUAGGCGGCUAUCUAAGUCGGGUGUGAAAGCCCCGGGCUCAACCUGGGAAUUGCAUUCGAGACUGAAUAGCUAGGGUACGGUAGAGGGAAGCGGAAUUUCCGGUGUAGCGGUGAAAUGCGUAGAUAUCGGAAGGAACAUCAGUGGCGAAAGCGGCUUCCUGGACCAGUACCGACGUUCAGGCACGAAAGCGUGGGGAGCAAACAGG